rnacentral:rRNA from 1 species
UACAGAGGAUGCAAGCGUUAUCCGGAAUGAUUGGGCGUAAAGCGUCUGUAGGUGGCUUUUUAAGUCCGCCGUCAAAUCCCCGAGCUCAACUUGGGAAUUGCAGUGGAUACUGGCAAGCUGGAGUACGGUAGAGGAAGGUGGAAUUCCCGGUGUAGCAGUGAAAUGCGUAGAGAUCGGGAGGAACACCAGUGGCGAAGGCGGCCUUCUGGACCAGUACUGACGCUCAUGCACGAAAGCGUGGGGAGCAAACAGG